UCUGGUCUCCCAGRCUCCUGGUUACAUAUUUGGCCUUCGGAACUCAGUACUUUGAGUGUGAAUUUUGGAGAAUGGCAAAAGCUCAAGAGCUUAGGUAUGAGUCUCCAUCUCCAUGGAGGGAACCAAUAUGGGAGUGUCUCUGCUCAUGUGCUCUCGCUGGGCAGCGCUGCCCAAGGAAAUGAGAAUCUAGGUUAUGAAAUGGCCCGUCCAUGAGCACUGCAUCACGUGGAGGACUGACAAGGCUAUAGUUAUGCACGUGGUUUAGAAAGAGAGGAAGGGAAGGAGGCUCAUCCGGGCCCAUCCGUCCAAAAGAAGAACCAUGGRAAGUAUUUAGCUCUCUGAAGAAGACUGCAGCCAGGUAUUAAAAACAACAGUGUGCUCUCUAGGAUAAAAGAACUCAAAGUGAAUUUCCCAAUAUUUAGGAAAAUCAAAAAUCUUGUUGGGGCUGCAAAACAGAGGUAUUCCUUUAAUAUAUGGAAGGAACGCUGUUUUCUAAACUAUUGAAAAAGGUAAAAAAUUGGAGUCCCACUUCUUUUUUUUUCUGGCACAACUGUAUGAAAUAUUGUCAAGACCCACCAGAUCUUCAAUGAGAAACCUGCAAGAUGAGAGAAACCCAAGUCUAUUAAAAUUCAGGCAAGGUAUUCUGACUGACAGUCAAUCCUCCAGACUGUCAAAGAGGAAGCUAAACAUUUUGCUGAUGGCAAAAGAAUGGUAUUUUUUUAACUAAACCAGUAUUGAAAUUCUGAAUCAAAGAGUAGGCUUUGAUGAAACAACAUGAAAAAAAGUAUGGAACAUCCUGUGUGGUGUAUUCACUCAAGACACUUAGAACAGUAUGCAGUACUCAAAUUAUUGCAGAAUGAAGUGGGUGAUUCAAAAAACCAAAACAGGGAAAAUACUGAAAGAUCUAUUAGCUCUUCUGAAAGAGAAUGGAGUGGACAGUCCUAUU